rnacentral:lncRNA from 1 species
GAACCUGAGGAAACUAUGAACUGACUUUGAUUCUGUAGCCUUAAGUCUGAUCUUGACUUAACAUUUUAACCUGAGAUCCUCCACCUCAAACAGCCAGCAUCAAACCAAUUCCAGAACUGCAGAACAACAUCACAUAUCUGAUUCUGUACACUUCAGUCUAUGGUUCUUCAUACUCUUGUGAACGCCACACCAUAUCUUGCAAGUCUCUUUGAUCCAGAGCAACUCACACCAGCUUAUAACUCUAGAGAUGAGAGAGCUUAACUUACUGAAGCACUUGAUUUAACAAACCAGAAACCAUCCGCUCCGAUUGCAUCUUCGUCCGUGAACUUUUUUCAUGCGUCUCUGACGUCGUCGUCUGAGCCAAUGUCUUCAUCUUCUUUCUUUUGCUCUUGACAUUGCAAAUCUUGCAACAUCUACUGAUUCUUCACUCUCGCAACAUCGAUGCGAUCGAAACUUCA